AUUGAACGCUGGCGGCAGGCCUAACACAUGCAAGUCGAGCGGAGCGGCGGACGGGUGAGUAAUGCCUAGGAAUCUGCCUGGUAGUGGGGGAUAACGUCCGGAAACGGGCGCUAAUACCGCAUACUCUCAGAUGAGCCUAGGUCGGAUUAGCUAGUUGGAGGGGUAACGGCACACCAAGGCGAUGAUCAGUAGCCGGUCUGAGAGGAUGAACGGCCACAUUGUGACUGAGACACGGUCCAGACUCCUACGGGAGGCAGCAGUGGGGAAUAUUGGACAAGGGGCGAAAUCCUGAUCCAGCCAGGCCGCGUGUGUGAAGAAGGUCGUCGGAUUGUAAAGCACUUUAAGUUGGGAGGCGUUACCAACAGAAUAAGCACCGGCUAACUUCGUGCCAGCAGCCGCGGUAAUUC
rnacentral:rRNA from 1 species